rnacentral:rRNA from 1 species
AACGAACGCUGGCGGCAUGCCUAACACAUGCAAGUCGAACGAUGCUUUCGGGCAUAGUGGCGCACGGGUGCGUAACGCGUGGGAAUCUGCCCUUGGGUUCGGAAUAACAGUGAGAAAUUGCUGCUAAUACCGGAUGAUGUCUUCGGACCAAAGAUUUAUCGCCCAGGGAUGAGCCCGCGUAGGAUUAGCUAGUUGGUGGGGUAAUGGCCUACCAAGGCGACGAUCCUUAGCUGGCCUGAGAGGAUGAUCAGCCACACUGGGACUGAGACACGGCCCAGACUCCUACGGGAGGCAGCAGUGGGGAAUAUUGGACAAUGGGCGCAAGCCUGAUCCAGCAAUGCCGCGUGAGUGAUGAAGGCCUUAGGGUUGUAAAGCUCUUUUACCCGGGAUGAUAAUGACAGUACCGGGAGAAUAAGCUCCGGCUAACUCCGUG